rnacentral:lncRNA from 1 species
ACAUAUUUGGGUGUUGUAUCGUUUCCACCAUCCCUAAUUUUAAAUCAACCACCUUGAGAGGUGAUGAAGAUUAAUCUUUUUAGCAUAUGUUUUCUCAACACCUCUUCUAUGCAAAAAAAAAAAAAACCUUCUAUGUCUUUGUUGCGGUAUCGACAGUUUCGAAGAAGACGGAGGAGGGGUCGGUUGUUUCGAUGCAAACGACGGUUGCAAGAGUGAGAUUUAAACGCAUAUGAGUCAAUUGGGAGACUACAAGGUAAACUUGAUACUGAUUUUUAAUUGCUAUUUGUGAACCAGAACGAUUUCAGUGGUUGUUGCUUGAAAUUGUAAAACAAAACGAUUUUUUUAUUUGAAAUGCGUCUUAAAAAUGGUAAUUAUUGCUUGUUGUCAAUGGAUGCAAGUGAUUUUGUGUUGAAGAGAGAAAAUAUAUGACGCCCUAAAAUAAGUUGAACAGAAAACCAAUAUGAUAUCAUUAUAUGAAAUUGGUAAAAAUCCAAAGCAAAAUUGUGAAUUUGGAGAGGUUUAUAAUCCAAUGGGAACUUUGGAAGCUUCUGCAACCAAUCAGAACUCCAUCACAGUGCGGAGGUUUCUGUUGGUGGCCAACUCGAGGAUUCGUACUUUUCGACUCGGCACAAACAUGGAUACUGGUGAAACUGUUGAAUAAGUAGUGGAGCAUAUAGUUGGUGUUCAUAGCUGUAGAUUUAGUCAAGUUUACUGUUUUUAUUUUGCUGAGUCACUAGUCCUAAUUGUUAGGAGAUGGUAGCUGUUGUUUUUCACCGGUUAAUGAGUUCCUUUAUUUUAGCCACUUCCACAUUGCUAGGCUUGUAAAAUGUGGUUGCAGUUUGUUGGUGUAUUUGGUUCGAGGUAAAUGGAGGGAGGGGAGGUAAGGGAUGAUUUUUAAUUUUUUAUGUUUGGUUCAAUUUUUAGGAGGGGAUGAGAGAGAAGGUGAGUAAAAUUCCUCCUAGAUCCAUUUUUUGCUCCCCCAAAUUAGAAGGAUUUGGGGGAGGAGAGGUAAGCUAUUUAAUACUCAAGCAUAUUAAGAAAAAUUUGUAGUGUAAUAAAUGUGUUUUUUUUUUGUGUUAUAAUUAUUAAAUUGUCCUCGGUGAAAAGAUGUAUUUGUAAUUGAUUUUUCGGAUUUCAAUGUAAAGUAUGAUUAUAUUUGGAAAAGUAAUAAUAAAUAUG